AGCUCAGUGGUAGAGUGUGUGCUUAGCAUGCACGAUGUCCUGGGUUCAAUCCCCAG
rnacentral:tRNA from 1 species